rnacentral:rRNA from 1 species
GACAGAGGGUGCAAACGUUGCUCGGAAUCACUGGGCGUAAAGCGCACGUAGGCGGAUCUUUAAGUCAGGGGUGAAAUCCUGGAGCUCAACUCCAGAACUGCCUUUGAUACUGGGGAUCUCGAGUCCGGGAGAGGUGAGUGGAACUGCGAGUGUAGAGGUGAAAUUCGUAGAUAUUCGCAAGAACACCAGUGGCGAAGGCGGCUCACUGGCCCGGUACUGACGCUGAGGUGCGAAAGCGUGGGGAGCAAACAGG